rnacentral:lncRNA from 1 species
GUUAAACCACAAUUUCCCUCCAGUUGGGAAAGAAACUGGCAAUGUUUUUAAAACACGCACCCUCCAAACUAGCCGUCUGCGCCACGAAAAAAUGUUUAAAGUGAGCUAAGUCCAUGUUUAGUAUAACUUGUCUUUGCGAGGAGGAGAAAUAGAUUUUUUUUUCCUUCUCUUUUCCUUCAGCUUCAGGCUGGAGUCUGGAGUCUGCACUCAGCACAGCCACGGUCAAAGGUGGAAUUAGCAAAGAGAAAGUGUCUGCCUUGUUUUUAAAGGGGAGAGAGAGACAAGGUGAUAUCCUCAGAUGAGGUUUCCCUGAGAAACAGACGAUCUCGUGGACAGGUGGUCUCUCUCCUGCAAGAGGAUGCAGAUUGCAGAUGCAGGCUAGAAGCUGUCAAAGCCGGAGGCGCUGAAGCGAAGUCUGCCCUAAUAGCUGCACACGUGAAAUUGACUGUGGUCUGACCACGACAGUCUGCUGAUGUGGUUUGUGAGAAAACGAGAGAGCAGGGGGUGGCGCGGGGGGGAUUGGGCGGGUAGAAAAAGCAACAAAAAGCAAACAUGUGAAUGAUAAUUGCUGUAAACAGCUUUGGGCCUAACUGUGGGUCAGCGUGCAAAACUGCGCGGGUGGGGUAAUUAAGAGCGGUGCUAAAUAAGUAAACAGGUGCAUAAAUGGAUUUGUUUUAAGACACGAGCCGUAUGAUCGAUAUGGUCUUGCGUUACUGUACGGCUAAUCAUCGAUGGCGCUUUGCGAUGAAGAAUUGAUCCCCCAACUCACAGAGCCGGAUCGGCGCGGCGGGGCUGCUGUUUGUUUAGUCAACUC